GUGCACUUCAGCAGCAUGCACACUAAAAUUUGAGCAAUACAGAGAAGAUUAGCAUGACCCCUACAGAAAGAUAACAUGCAAAUUUGUGAAGUAGUCCAUAUUAAG
rfam:Otolemur garnettii contig168159, whole genome shotgun sequence.